rfam:Mesitornis unicolor contig105446, whole genome shotgun sequence.
AUAAAGGCUUUUCUUAAAGCCAUGGUAUUUCUUAAAAGAAAUUCCAU